rnacentral:rRNA from 1 species
GCGAACGCUGGCGGCGUGCCUAAUACAUGCAAGUAGAACGCACAGUUUAUACCGUAGCUUGCUACACCAUAGACUGUGAGUUGCGAACGGGUGAGUAACGCGUAGGUAACCUGCCUGGUAGCGGGGGAUAACUAUUGGAAACGAUAGCUAAUACCGCAUAAUAUUAAUUAUUGCAUGAUAAUUAAUUGAAAGGUGCAAUUGCACCACUACCAGAUGGACCUGCGUUGUAUUAGCUAGUAGGUGAGGUAACGGCUCACCUAGGCGACGAUACAUAGCCGACCUGAGAGGGUGAUCGGCCACACUGGGACUGAGACACGGCCCAGACUCCUACGGGAGGCAGCAGUAGGGAAUCUUCGGCAAUAGACGAAAGUCUGACCGAGCAACGCCGCGUGAGUGAAGAAGGUUUUCGGAUCGUAAAGCUCUGUUGUAAGAGAAGAACGGGUGUGAGAGUGGAAAGUUCACACUGUGACGGUAUCUUACCAGAAAGGGACGGCUAACUACGUG